UGGGGAAUAUUGGACAAUGGGGGCAACCCUGAUCCAGCAAUGCCGCGUGUGUGAAGAAGGCCUUAGGGUUGUAAAGCACUUUAGGCUGCGAGGAAGGUAUGUAGUUUAAGAGAUGACAUGCUUGACUGUAGCAGCAGAAUAAGCACCGGCUAACUCUGUGCCAGCAGCCGCGGUAAUACAGAGGGUGCAAGCGUUAAUCGGAGUUACUGGGCGUAAAGGGCGCGUAGGCGGUUGAUUAAGUGAGAUGUGAAAUCCCUGGGCUUAACCUAGGAACUGCAUUUUAUACUGAUUGACUAGAGUAUUGUAGAGGGUAGUGGAAUUUCCGGUGUAGCGGUGAAAUGCGUAGAGAUCGGAAGGAACACCAGUGGCGAAGGCGGCUACCUGGACAAAUACUGACGCUGAGGCGCGAGAGCGUGGGGAGCAAACAGGAUUAGAUACCCCCGUAGUCC
rnacentral:rRNA from 1 species